AGUGCAUGAUUAUAGCGUAGAUUACAAAAAGUGCGCUCCAGAGCUCUACCCCAAAAAAACAGCAAGCCGAACAACAACAACAGCAACGCACAGGCUGGCGUUUUUGGCCAGGAAUCGGAUUCAGAGUUGGAUCUCGGAUCGGACCCUCUUGGUCUUCCCUGCCUUUAUUUCGCUUAAGGUUUCUUCCCAGGUCGUCGACGACGAGCAAUAUUCAUAGAGGUCGUCGUGUCGCGGCCACAUGAGAGAUCAUCUCGUCCUGAGCUCUUCCUCUAGUGCUCCUCAUAUGCUAAGAGAAUCAUAUCAUGGACUCUACUAUACUACUAUAUGUAGCUAGGUGUGCGGAGCGGUUCGGGACCUUAUAAUUGCUUUGUAACCUUCGUUGGCAACGCAAACUUAGACGGAUCGGAUUCAAAGAGUUGGCCACGCACCCAGAAAAAAAUCGCCAAGGAACAAACGGCCGGCAAACAGUUUUCUGUAGUACAAAUUAAUUGCUGCUUUACACGCGUUCCUCAUCCGAAAGCCAGGUAAAAUCAUUCAUCUGAUGCUGGAGAGGCAACACAUGCAAGUACUGCGCAGUGCACUGCGAGAAAUGUAGAGCGAUCUUUAGCUUAUUGAAUUCGGGGCUCCGGGCUCCAGGCUUCGUCUGCGCGGCUCUCCCAGGAGAGAAAUCCAAUUAGCUGCGCUUGUGGCGGCCUUAGAGAAAUGCCCCCAAGCCCGUGGGCAGCGCACUGCGAACAUGCAAAAGGACCCCAGAUCCCGAGAUCCCCAGAUCCACAUCCAGUCUGCGGCCUUAAAAUUCAAUUGUUGAACUACGAGCUGCUCCAAAGACUGGAGCUGGAGUUGCGGCUAGCCAAAGGAGAUUAAAUCGCCGCGGCGACUGGGAAAAGACAGAAACAGACAAAAAAAGCGAGUCUGGCCAAAGGAAAACGCCGCCACUGAAAAGAGCAACUGGGCGCAAAAUUAUAAUUGCAAAUUUGUGCCAGGCACUCGAAUCCACAGUGUACUUGUACCG
ensembl:ncRNA lncRNA:CR44685 long non-coding RNA:CR44685